UUCCAGACCCUCAGUGGAGCUGUCGGCCGGCAGAGCCGGGCAUUUGGGCACCAGCUGAGCCAGAGCAGGGGCGCACGGGGCCCCUACCAGGUCCCAUCGCCCACCUGCGGACUCAAAGACCAGAAACAUGCAAGACAGGAACGCGAGCUUCAGAGGAGACCGCUAGGGGCCUCCAGGCUUCAGGACCCGUGCUCUGCCCUCCACCUGCCUCCCAGCUCCAGCCCCUGCACCACCUGCCUCUUCCCCAGCAGAGAACUUCCCGCGGCACAGUUUCGUUCUCUGUGGGAACUGCCUUGCCAGGACUUCGCAUGCUUGCCCUUGAUUUCUUCCAGAGCAGUUUGGUUGUUAUGCUGGAGGGAAGAGUGGCGUGCGUGUUGUACUGUUCCUCGCUCCAGGACCCAUGCUGAUGAGGCAGAAAAUACCUAGAAUGUUGCUGGCACCUGUGGUGGAAGGGAAAGGAAUGAACAAAACAGGAGCUGCCUCUCAACCUCUGCCCGGAGAUGCUCUCAACUGGAAGAGUCCCAGCCGAUCUGCG